CUUUUCUCUCUCUAUAUGUUGAUAAAAAUUCAGCCAUGAUUAAUUUUCCAAUCUCUCUCAGAUAUUCAUCAUUAGCCCUUUUCAAACAAGCCAUUUCUGCUAAUCCUUGGCCUAAUUCCCUCUGAAACAAAUCUCUAUUUCUCCUCUGUUUUCUAUAAUUAUCAUAAUUUUGUGUUGGAUUUACAGGAUUAGGGAUUAAUUAAUCAAAGAUCAUGGGUGGUGGAGAGAGAAGUAUACUUCACUUUCCACACCUCCAUAUUCCUCAAAGUGGAAAGAGUAAACAGGGUAAAAGAGAUGUUCCUAAAGGAUACCUGGCGAUUAAAGUAGGGCAAGCAGAGGAAGAGCAACAGCGAUUCAUCGUCCCUGUUUCUUACUUCAAUCAUCCGCUUUUCAUUCAAUUACUCAAAGAGGCGGAAGAAGUUUAUGGAUUUCAUCACAAGGGAACCAUUACGAUUCCUUGUCAUGUUGAACAAUUUCGAUGUGUUCAAGGCAAAAUUGAUAAACACCAUACCCAUCUUCAUGUGCCGUGUUUUAGGGCAUGAGAUUCAAUUUUUUGUUGUUGUUGCUGCUUUCGGUGGAGUCGGUUAGUGAUAAUGAGGACAAACUUUUUCUGUUUCGGUUUCUGGAUGGUUUGUUAUGGGUCACUGGAGUUGUUAGCUCAAGG
rnacentral:misc_RNA from 1 species